GAUGAACGCUAGCGGCAGGCCUAACACAUGCAAGUCGAGGGGUAACAUAGAAAAGCUUGCUUUUCUGAUGACGACCGGCGCACGGGUGCGUAACGCGUAUACAACCUACCUUUUAGCGGGGAAUAGCCCAGGGAAACUUGGAUUAAUGCCUCAUAGUAUAUAAGCUUCUCCUGAAGUUUAUAUUAAACAUUUAUGGCUAUUAGAUGGGUAUGCGUCCUAUUAGUUAGUUGGUAAGGUAACGGCUUACCAAGGCAGCGAUAGGUAGGGGUCCUGAGAGGGAGAUCCCCACACUGGUACUGAGACACGGACCAGACUCCUACGGGAGGCAGCAGUGGGGAAUAUUGGACAAUGGGCGAGAGCCUGAUCCAGCCAUGCCGCGUGCAGGAAGACUGCCCUAUGGGUUGUAAACUGCUUUUACAGAGGAAGAACCACCCCCACGUGUGGGGGUUUGACGGUACUCUGCGAAUAAGGAUCGGCUAACUCCGUG
rnacentral:rRNA from 1 species